UGGGGAAUCUUCCGCAAUGGACGAAAGUCUGACGGAGCAACGCCGCGUGAGUGAAGACGGCCUUCGGGUUGUAAAGCUCUGUGAUUCGGGACGAAAGGCCAUAUGUGAAUAAUAUAUGGAAAUGACGGUACCGAAAAAGCAAGCCACGGCUAACUACGUGCCAGCAGCCGCGGUAAUACGUAGGUGGCAAGCGUUGUCCGGAAUUAUUGGGCGUAAAGCGCGCGCAGGCGGUCACUUAAGUCCAUCUUAGAAGUGCGGGGCUUAACCCCGUGAUGGGAUGGAAACUGGGAGACUGGAGUAUCGGAGAGGAAAGUGGAAUUCCUAGUGUGGCGGUGAAAUGCGUAGAUAUUAGGAGGAAUACCGGUGGCGAAGGCGAAUUUCUGGACUUUUACUGACGCUCAGGUACGAAAGCGUGGGGAGCAAACAGG
rnacentral:rRNA from 1 species